rnacentral:lncRNA from 10 species
GUGUCUUUCAUUUCUCAGUUAAGAACAAUACUGUUUUUUAGACUGAAACAGGUAUGUUUCAACAUUAUCUAUUGCAAGGACUCACUAUAGGAGGGUACUGGAUGCAUCCUCUUCCUUCCCCGUGCCAAUACUGGCCUAUUAGACUGUCCCCCUCCUUCCCCCCGAGUGAAAUGAAGAAACUCUGAUUAGAGAGGUUUAAAUAACUUGACCAAGACAUGGGACACGUGAGCGUCAUGGCGAGGGACUGAACCUUGAUUGCUCUGACUUCAACUCCUGAGAUUCUAACGAUGGUCCUCCACCGCUGCUCAGAUCAAGGUUAAUGACAUCUUCAUUUCUACAUUUCUCUGACAUGUUGUAUUGACUCUUCUUCAUUUUGCUGUUAGCAUUCCAGUAUAAGCUUUCUGGUUGCUUCCUCACUGCAUGCUGAUAUGAUUUGGCUGUAUCUUCACCCACAUCUCAUUUUGUAUUGUAGCUCCCAUAAUUCCCACGUGUUGUAGGAGGGACCCAGUGGGAGAUAACUGAAUCAUUGGGGAGGAUUCCCCCAUACUGUUCUCGUGGUAGUGGGUAAGUCUCCUGAGACCUGAUAGUUUUAUAAGGGGAAAUCCCUUUUGCUUGGAUCUCAUUUUUUCUCUUGUCUCCCGCCAUGUGAGAUGUGCCUUUUGCCUUCCACCAUGAUUAUGAGGCCUCCCCAGCCACGUGGAACUGUGAGUCCAUUAAACCUCUUUUUCGUUAUAAAUUACACAGUCUCGGGUAUGUCUUUAUCAGCAGCAUGAAAAUGGACUAAUACACAUGCAUUUCUAGCAUCUCCUGCAUCUGAUGUAGUCACUUUAUUACAAUGAGAAGUGAUAUUCUCUUUGAGAAUACAAUGAGAUAAAUUUAUAAUUUCUGCAUAUUUCAUUAGCUUUCCACUGUACACACAUUUCUUUUGAAACCUUCAUCUUGGCAUUCAAAGGUCUCUUCAAUGUCACAUCAAUCUACUUUUCCAAUCUCAUCUUUAAAAAUCACCAAUUCAGAAUUUUCAUUCAAGAUUUACCAUUUUCAGUCCUCUAACACAGAGCAUGAAAACCCUAACUCUUGGGUCUGUUUUGCAUAGAUACAAUUCCUUUAUUUAAAACCUAGUUUACCACCGCUCCAUAAGAACGUUUUUGACUAUUCUGGUUCAUGUUGACUUUUGCAGUCUCUGUUGUCCUGAAGUUUAUCAUGUAACUCAUUUUAUAUUGUGAUGUGUUUUGCAAGAUGUCAUUUUAAGAAUACUAAUUUCCAAAAUUUUAUGUCAGGAAUAAUAAUUCCCAAAACUUUGUAAAAUUUUAGGCACAACAUGCAUGUAUGCAAGGCCAGCCUGAAUAGCAGACAGCCGUAGGGUUGCCCUCUUUGCUCAUCAGCACAACCACUCUUCAAAUAUCUUGACAGUGCUCCCUUCUUACCUCUCUACCUCCAUUUUCUUUUAAAUAUGUGAUAAUUUAUGCUUCCACUUCAUCUCUGCCUUACUUUCCCUUGGAUCCGCCUACCUAACGUUCUCAUUUCUCAUCUCGCUCCAGCACUGGUCCAAGGAAGGUGUGCUCUGGCAGUGCAGGUGGUGAUAAGGGAUAACGGAGGGGAAAAUCCAAGCCUUUAUCGAGCUCUUCCUUAUCCUACACCUCUGUCACUGAUUCUUUAUUUCCAGGAAUUAUUCCGGCUUUGCCCUGUCUGCUUUGCCUCUUUCUCCUGACACAACACUCAAUAAUGCACUCUGGUCUACCACACCAAACUUGACAGUACUCUAGCCCAAAUUUUACCUUUUUUUUUUUUUUUUUUUUUUUUUUUUUGCCGUUUAAGAGAACAGUGAAAAUUUAUCUUUAAGAAUCCAUGUGUAACCUCGUUUUUAUCUACUGUGUCAAUGGAGAGAUCAACAUUUCUUUCGGUAUUGAUUGAAAUGGUGAGAUGGAAAGGUGAUAACGUGUACUAAAUGCUAACAAUACGCCAGGCAAUAUUUUAGGCAUUGUAUAGGUAUUGGCUCGAUAAUCACUAUAAUCUGAGGAGAUGGGUGUUGUAGUUACUUGUAUUGUACAGAUGUAGAACCUGAGGCAUAGAAUUAAGAAACUUGUCCCAAAUUAUACAAAUAUUAAGCAACAGGAUAAAAUAUCAGACGAUCUGGCCCCAAAGCCAGUUCUCCGAUCCUCUGUGUUAUGGCUUUAUGUGCUACAACUUCCAACAGAAAGGAAGGAAGCACAAGUUCCCUAGAACUUUAUGAGUAAAGAAAUGAUGUAUCUAGGAGGCUGUCUAGGAUAAGCAGUAACCCCAGGUGUUUAUACAACAUUUUACCCUUUGACUCUCUGAGGAGUUCAUCUUUGCUCUUCACCCUGCUGGAGUCCUUGCCUCAGGCCAGAAGAGUUAUCAUCAGAGCCACGCAGGAGACAGUUAGCCCUUCUGUGUUGAAAAAAUUGCUCUCUAGCCAGGCAUGGUGGCUCAUGCUUGCAAUUCCACACUUUGGGAGAAUGAGGCAGGAGGAUCGUUUGAGGCCAGGAGUUUGAGACCAGCCUGAACAACAAAGACAGACUAGGUCACUACAAAAAAAAAAAAUGUUAAAAAAUUACCUGGGCAUGGUGACACAUACCUGUAGUCCCAGCUACUCAGGAGGCUGAAGUGGGAGAACUGCUUAAGCCCAGGACUUUGAGGAUGCAGUGAGCUAUGAUCAUGCCACUACACUUCAGACUGGGAGACAGAGCAAGACCCUGACUCUAAAAAAAUUCUUUAAAUGCCCCCAUGUGUUACCCAUGUUAGAUUGUGUUUCUAGGACUCUUUGUCUACACACUUUAUUUCAGGUAAUUUACGGACCAACAAAAUUUAUUGUUUUGUUACAAGUCAGUGGGAAAUUCCUUUGCAUUCUAACCAAAUGUUUAAAAGAUAAAGUCAGCAAUGCCUAUGUUUCUUCCAUCACAUUACAUAACUCUAAACAUAGCAGAUGUUGGGAGAAACUUGCUGGGUGCCUACUGGAUUCGACUGACAGAUACCUCGUGAUUUAAGUUCACUUUCCUCUGCCCCCUUACCUCAACCACCAUUUCACAAACAGAUGCCACCACUUACUAAGUAGUCAAGAGGGAGGCUGCUCUCACCAUCCCAAGAAAAAUGAACAAUAAAUAUGUGUAUUUGAGAUUCUGAAUUCUUCCUUAAGCUGCUGCACAGAAAACACUCCUUACUGGUGAGGUUUCAUUCAAGCUGAUGUAUUCCAGUCUCCUUUCAUUUAGUGCCUAAGACUUUCAUUUAGUGUCCAAGACUGAAUGAGACUGCCCUGUUGGGCAGGAGAAGUGGAAGAACAACAACAGAACAAGUAAAAACCAGCCUUCUCUUUGCACAACUCUAAUUGUUCGGCCCUUUAUUUUAGGAUGUAAAAGUAUAAAUUUACUUAAACUAUUUUCAUGACCUUUUGCUCAAGUAGUUAACAAACGAUUAAAUAGUAAUCUAAAAACAAAUGUUUUAGUAAGAAAAUAAAAAGAUGCAAUGAAGGACCUUGAAACAAACAAUAAGGUAGCCAUUCCUGUUUUUUAGAAAGGAAAAACAAAACACUUUUAUUCAUACACAUUCAUAACUGCCUAAAUGAUUACUUUUUCAUAAAUGUAACAGUGAGAAUGAGAAAACAUCAAAUUACUUUUCCUGAAACUUGCAUAAGCAAAAGAAAAGAUGUAUAAUGCAGUUCUACUCCUGAGCAAAAUGUCCCUCAUUAAUAGAGUAAUAGAUCGUAUUAAUUCUACUUUUAUAAAGAGAAAUGGACAUGGACAAAUUUAGCACAAAUUUUCCUAAUGAAUAAAAAAGGCAAAUAGUAGUAUACAUAGUCAUAUUUUUCCAUUUAUUGCUACACAUGAUCUUCAUUUCAAGUAAUCACACCAUUAUAAUUGUGUAAGGAUUGCACAAAUAUCACCUUAGAAUAAAUGAGAUGGUUUUAAACGUCAACAUGGGAACAGCUUGCGCACUCCCCUUCUUGGUUGUAAGGUCUAAUACAAAUUUUUGUGGCAUUUUUAGAUAGAUCAGAAGAAAAUUUAAUCUGGUAUUUACACUGACCUUACAUUGACUCUCUACAUAGUCUGCAUUCACGGGGUGGAAAGAUGAAUUUGUGAUGUAAAAGUCCCUGCCUGCUCCUCCUGCCUUGGUCCAAGAGAGAAAAGAUGUACCCAACACUCUCAUCCUUGGUUCUUGGAUCCCACUGAAUGGAACUGGCUCAAAGAAAUCCUUCCGAUUUAGCUUAAAAUAUAAAUUAUUUGAAAAGGACUGAUGCUAUUGAACCGCUUCAGUUUCCCUAACGUUAUAUGAGAACCCAAAGACAAGAAUUGUUCAGCAGGGACCACAGAUUGAUUUAUGUGCAAGAUUUAUUUUCCUGCUUUGACUUGAAGAGGACUUCCAAGCAGGCUGCAAGCCAGAGAACAACCAGGUGCGAGAGAAGCUCACAUUCUUUUACUUGACAGACUACUUCAUCAGUAAACAUAGGAAACAAUUGUUCCUACCAAAUCUCCUUGAAUCUGAAUAAGCUGCUUCAUGGAUCAAAAUGUCCCUUUCCUCUGUCUCUCUGAAUCCCAGACUUUUAACCUUUGAAUUUGCUUUGUGAGCUUUGAAUCUGUGGUUUCCACCUAAGUUGGUGAUUAAAACAAAAGAAUACCAACAUUCCCCUCAUGAUAAACUAAAAAUCAUUAUUAAGAAAGAAAAAAUUAAAGGAUUAUUCAAAACGACUUGCAAAUGUAUUUGCCAUUAGCAGUUCUAUUAUUUUUCAUAACUGCCUUAAGUAUGGAUUUGUAGAGUUUUUGCUGUAACGAGGGAGUGUAAUACAGUGGAAAGAAAAUACUUUGAAAUCUAACAUUUUCUGGGUUCUGUUGUUUAGUAGCUACCAAUAGCUAUAUAGUCUUGAACAAGGUGCUUAAUCUUUCCAAUCCUUAUCUAAAUCACCUGAAAGCAUAUAGCAACACAUUGCUCCUCAUUAGACAACAAAGGUAUAUUGGCUUCAGACACUCAAGGUGGUGUUGAUUUUUAUAUACUCACGCAUGGUCCUUUGGUUUUAUUAUGACAGAUGUGUGCCACUGGAAUCAAGUCUAUUCAGCAGAGAUUUUCUCUCUUUUUUUUUUAGAAGAGUACAUAGAAACUUAGAAGGCUGGUGAUGGGAUUGACAAAGGACAAUUUAUUUAUCAUCAGACUUUACAGAUUCACUGCUGUCUUGGUGUCUUCACACGUGGGUUUCACUGCUGCUUUGGAGAAAAUAUGGUGCCAAGGUCCUGGGAAGAGGCUUUCAGUCAGACUUCCCUGCUUUCAAUUCUAGUUAUGCCCUUGCCAUUUAUUUAAUCUCUGUCACUUUCAAAUUAUUUUUGUGCUUAAAUGAUGCUUUUCUCUCUGUAGCAUUGUGAGAGAUAAAAGCGCAUUUACAUGGACACCGUGGGGUUUAAAACUGAUGAUGUAUAUGCAGUGUUUGUUUCUGUCACACUUCUCCUUUUCCUUUCCAGUUUUCUGAUGGCCAGGAGAAAGCUGUAUCUGUGAUGAAAGUCACUGCAUUGAAAAAUCUCCCUUCUGGCUACAACUGGCACAUUUCAGCAUGUUCUGGGCCAUGCCCUCAGCAGAUAUUCUGAGACCUCCCAACUGAGCGGCUUUGUGUAAACCUGCCCUGCUCACUGAUCAUUAGAACACCUAAUAAAAUCCAGAAGGCUGGAGGAAUUAGCCAGUCAUAGCAUUUCUUGGUCUAAGAAUUUUGGGGGAAACUGCAGCAAUUAUCUCAAAAACCCCCAGAGAUCUAAACACUGUUCCUAAAAUAUGGUAACUUACAAUUUAUUAUAUCUAGAAUAUCUUUGUAGUAAUUUGGCUUUCAGAAAGGGCACUCACAUUAGAAGGCAGCUAGAAUUAGAUGCCAAAAACAAAAUAACAAAACAGGAUUUUACGAAGGUAGAAUUUUCUCACAUGUCCUCACCCCUAACCCAGGAGGAAGAAGCGCCUUUACCCUGCGUAUUCCACGUAUCAACAGGGCCCUGCUCAGUGUGUGCUACUCGUACCACGCACUGGUUUUGUUUGCGUGCCUGCUACUUGCAAGCUGCUUGACGUCACUGCCAUAUUCACUUCUGUAUUCCCACAGCCUAGCAUAUAAACAGUUUUUACAGACCAGGUAUGGUGGCUCACAUCUGUCCUUCCAACACCUUGGGAGACUGAGGAAGGACUAUCACUUGAGGCCAGGAGUUCAAAACCAGCCCUGGCAAUCUAACGAGACUCCAUCUCUACAAAAAAAAAAAAAAAAAAAAAAAAAAAAUUAAAAAAAAAAUAAGUUUUUACAACAAAAUGAAUGGAUGGAUAACCAUAAAGGCUGCAAAUUUGAAAGGCAUUAUUUAGGCCAUUCUUGCUACCAUUUAGGACAUUGAUACCAGUGUAUUAAAAGUCAAGAAGACAGAAAGUAUACUGUUUCAAAUAGUACUUCUCAGGACAACAAAGUUUUCUCUUUCAGACUCUUUCAGAAACUAAAAUUAUAUGACAUGGGUAUUUCUGGGUUUCACUUCAUUUCUCCCUGGGUGGUCUUAUUAACUGAAGAGUGAUCAGGAAUCAGUUUUGCUUUCUCUGUCAUUGGCCCUUAUCUGCUGUCUCCUGUGUUCCUCUCCCUGCUCACAUCCAACAUGAAGACUUGCCCGUAACUGACAUCCUUGUCAAGACUCUUUGUCAAUCAUUUUACUCCUUUCUGUGGGUAAAACUCAGACCUCUUUGCAAGAAUAGAUUUUUGUCCCCAAGGGUUCUUUUGUGUAAGAACUCAGGGUUGUUAGUUACUGGCAAAGUGAACAUAUCUCACAAAACAAGUGUUUUUAUUUUUUAUUUUUUUGCUUGUUUGAGACAAACAGCCUAAAGUGAGAUUUAAUAAAGAAUAUUUUCUUUGUUAGUUUAGUUUGGACCCAGUUCUUAAGAAAACAAACAAACAAAAACAAAAAACAACUAUCCUGCAUCUCCCCUGCCCUCGUGCCUCCCCUUCCAUUAUCACAUAGCAAAGUAUUUGAUUUUCAUCCUGUUUCAUCAAAACCCUUGCACUUGAUCACACGAGGUAUUCAUAGGAGUCAACUCCUGGCUUAAUUAUUUUGAUUCACCGUGUUAGAAAGGGAAGUUAGAGUAGGCGUAGGGGCUGAGCACAUUAGAAGGUACAGAGGCGGAGCAUAUUUCAAGAAUCCCCCCUCCCACAAUAAUGAUAGGCUUUUUCAAGCAGUGGGAUUUGAGCCUUUUACAAAUUAACAUUGUCCAUUUAUUUAACAACUAUCAUAGUAAAUCCAAAUAAUAUGCCUAAAAUGUGCUGCUUUGACUUUUGUUAAUCAUGGAAAAUUGUUCUCUUAUUAAAUUAGAUCUCUUUUGCUCCUCCCCUGCUCUUCAGCACUCAUAUUUCAAUUACUUCAAUCAUUAUUUUGUACAGAAAUAGAAUCUACUCAUCAAAAGCUGGACUUAACUUAUUUGUGACUCUCACUCAUUCUUUUU